GAGGUGGAGCCAGGAUACACCUCUCCUCAUCCCUCAUUUAAGGGUUAGCAGCUAAGGGAUCAAUGCUUUGUUGGAUAGAAAUUCUUCUCAUCUUGAGCUGUUGCUGGUUAUUGGAAGGGCAUUUACAGAAGGAAUAAUAUCAUCUGAGAACAUGACAGAAACUACUUUUUAAACACUGAGUGAAACACGCUUGUAGCAGCAAUUGAAUGUUUUGUUUCAGUAGCCCUGCAGAGGGCUGGAUCCUAAAAGUUCCUGAACAUCAAUUCCUCUUGAGAGCAUGGGGAAUGGAAGGCACUCAACAUUUCUUCAGUUACAGCCACGGAAAGGACAUAGCGAUGAAGUAGCAAGAGCAAGCUGGUAAUAAAGUUCAGCUCCUCCGCUCCCUAACAUGGAAUGGAUUAUUCUGGAGAAAAUGAAUGAAAAUGUUGGAUGGAGGGGAUUUGAAGCAGAUGCAUGCUUUUUCUUGUAUUAUCAAAACUGUAGAAGGUAGAGAAUGGGCUGAACAGCAAAGAGGAAACACUCUGCACUGAGGUCAGCUGGUAGGUCAUACAAGCAGCUAGCAAGGCAGUGUGAGACCUCUCAAAGAAUUCAUGUAUGGCUAGAUAUCUGAGUAUAAUGUCCUCAAUUUGUCCCAAGAUUGAGGACAUGAUACUCAGAUUCUGCAAAUGAAUGAAUUGUGGGAACUCAAAACUUUGUACCACUUCCAUGCCGUUUGGUGGGAUUGUUGUGUUUAACCUGGCAGCAACUUGGUACCAUGCAGUAUGGGAAGCUGAAAUGCCUCUGUGCGGCACUGCUCAGCAGCAAGUGAAACAUCAGUUUGUUAUCAGUAUUGUUUCUCUCCCAAAGACAAAACAUAGCAUUAUACCAGACACUGAAGAAAAUCAAUUCUGUCCCAGCUGCAGCCAGGAUAAAGAUCAUAUCAAAUUUCUCCAGUGUCUUACUGGCUCAGCACAAGUGUUUCCCUGAGGUUGAAAAAUACAGGAAUGGCUGGGCUGCCACAAGUUGUGCUUCUGAGCACGUAUUUCAUCACAGUAAGACUUCAGAAUCUGCCUGUCUGCAAUGCAGUGUCAGUGAGGAGUGCCAUGAUGCCUGUGCUAGAGUACAGCCUGUGACUUCUGAAAAACACCAAAUACUAUUGCAAGGGAAAAAUCAUCUUAAUGAUGAAGGAACUUCUGUCCUACAUUUAGUCAGCAGUGCUGUGUGCUUCUUAGUCACUUGGAUUGUGAUGUUUGCAGGAUGUAGAUGUGGACAUUAAAUACCUUAUCCUUUACACAAUGUUUAGAUUGUAUCAUAUUGUGUGUGGGAGAGAAUGGUCUGUCUAGACACUUAAUCUAGAAACGAGUGUUUCUGAGAGCAGACCCCUGAAUUGAGCAUCUUUCUGCUUACUACUGGAAGGAAUUGAAGGAACAAUACUAUUCCACUGUCCCUUUCAAUGAGCAAGCUGGGCUCAGGGAGCACACAGACUUCUUAUUUGUUGCUGAUUUUUUUUUUUUCCCAUGUCAGUAACUUUGACAUUUUGAAGGAGCAGUUAAGCAGAACAGUUAUCCUUCAGACAAAGCCAAGUAUGUCUCCUUUACAAAUGAGAAUGUUAUCGA